UCUGAAGAACAGCAACAUACAGACAAGCUCCAUCUUUCUUACUUYCUAGGCCCUGGAUAAAGAUAAGUCUGAAAUCCGGUUAUGCUGAUGGAGUUCGAAAACCUGUUGCCAUGGGGACAGCAGCCAGCUCCUGCCACUCUCUGAGGCUGAGACUAGACRGUGGGUGUGUAAGAGACCAGCGAGAGCCAGUCAUCAUCUCAACUAGCAACUUCUCUCUCUACAUAUUGAUGUAUGCUGAAGAAGUAACAAGGGUUAGUUAGGUGUUCGAGGUUAUUUGUUCCCAGUAGGUCAAACAUGUUGAUCCGAAUCSUGCAGCCUGAAAGAACAUGCAUUCACGGACUCACCAGUCAAAGCACUUAGUGCGCAUGCAAACACAGGAAUGAGAUCAAUUGCUUGGCUUGGAUGAUUUGUCUUUGAAUUCAUCCUGCUCAUUGCAUUAUACAUGUCGAAUAUAAUGCAAUCACUUUUCCCUGACAUUGCAAAGGCGUGUGUUUAAACCGUCUGAGAAGUGGGGGGUUGUUCCAGCCUUGUACUAAAACACCUUAUUCCAUAAAUCAAGGGUUUGAUGAUUGGUUGAAAAAGA